UUGCAACUUGCAAUGCAAUUCUACUCUUGAGAGAUGUUAAUUAGUAAAAUCUGUGAAGAAUUUUCGAUAUGUUGAGAAAACAUCAGCGGAGUGUAGUGAAAACUUGUAUUUGGUAAUUUUACAUCUCUCAAGAGUAGAAUUGCCUUGCAAGUUGGAA